rnacentral:rRNA from 1 species
UACGUAGGGUGCGAGCGUUGUCCGGAAUUAUUGGGCGUAAAGAGCUUGUAGGCGGUUUGUCGCGUCUGCUGUGAAAAUCCGGGGCUCAACCCCGGACUUGCAGUGGGUACGGGCAGACUAGAGUGUGGUAGGGGAGACUGGAAUUCCUGGUGUAGCGGUGAAAUGCGCAGAUAUCAGGAGGAAUACCGAAGGCGAAGGCAGUCUUCCAAGCCGUUAUUGACGCUCAACUGCGAAGGUGUGGGUAUCAAACAGGAUUAGAUACCCUGGUAGU